rnacentral:rRNA from 1 species
UACGGAGGGUGCGAGCGUUGUCCGGAAUCACUGGGCGUAAAGCGUAUGUAGGCGGCCUGUUAAGUAAGUUGUGAAAUCCCACGGCUCAACCGUGGAAUUGCAAUUUAAACUGGCGGGCUUGAAUGCAGGAGAGGUUGUAGAAUACCUAGUGUAGUGGUGAAAUACGUAGAUAUUAGGUGGAAUACCGGUGGCGAAGGCGGCCAACUGGCCUAGCAUUGACGCUGAGAUACGAAAGCGUGGGGAUCAAACAGG